GUCGGGAUAGCUCAGCUGGUAGAGCAGAGGACUGAAAAUCCUCGUG
rnacentral:tRNA from 16 species